rnacentral:lncRNA from 1 species
GUCCCCGGCCGGCCUCCGUCGCCUCCGGUUCCAUCAUCCCUAGCCAAUAAUAAGGUAGCUGGGAACGUAACGAUAUGGCCAAGCCCGUGAAGCUGACUGCUGCUGGUUCCCUCCCGCUGAUGAAGGCCUGCCUCAGCUCCGGCGGGCGGCACUUGGGCUCGUUACCCUGCGGGAUGGCGACGAUGAUGCUCACGCAACGGGGCAGAGCUUCACGCCCUGGGGUGAACAGAGGUACACUGCUUCACAUGUAUACAAAGUGCAAAUCACAUGUGCAUGCAUGCACAUAUCUAUCACGUGUCGUUGCGCUACCAUUCCUCGCAAAAGGUCCCAUUACCAGAUUUGGAGUUCCUUUGUGAGAGAAGGUUGCGAGAUUCGGAGGCUUCAAUUGAUUCCCUCUGUCUGUAGCACACAGAUCGACAGCAACACCCCUCGAUAUCAUCGUCCUCAGUCUACUACUCACCGCCGGCCACCGCCCUCGGUUCGUCGUCGUCCUCGUCUCUAGCUCCGGCCCUGCUUCUCGCUGUGGCCGUUCGACGGCGGCGCGCGCCCUCUAGUCUUCUUUCCGGCAGGCAGCCUAAAUUCCCAAGACUAAUGGCCAACACCAACGCCGCCGCUAAUAAGCUCUGUGGUGGUCGUUCCAUGCCACCGGCGGCUUGCUGCCGCCACUCGGGCGGCCAACGGUUCCUCAGCUCGUUGCCUUGCUGGAUGAUGCCGUCGACGCAACUGGCCGGAGAUUUGCGCCGCCGCCCUGCUAAGUUCACGAGAGGUAGGCAUUCGAUCACAUUGCCAUGCAUGCUCUCUUGGUCGUCGCGCGCCCCAUUUGUAGCUCACCUGUUUAUCCACAAACUUGCUCGUAGUCCACCCAAACUGCAAGUCACGAACUCACGAUCGAUGUGCUAUAGACUGCUAGUGCAAACCUCUACCUCUUCUUUCUUUAUUUAUUCGCGUUUUCAGAAAAACGAAAGAAAGAAAGAAAGGCUGACACGCUUACACGCAUCUCUCGUUCUCUCUCAUCUUCAAGUGGCACAAGUUCACAAGACGUUGGAGGUGGAAGAACCUGCAAACAGUUCCGCCAAAAACUGUAAGAGACCAAACUUAACCUCUUUUUGCGUCGAAUUAAACUUGAUCUGAUUGUUCAAAAUUUCAAACUCAUAUAUGCAACGACUUUCUUGCUACAGUUAGCGGUGGUAUAAUAAGCACGCAGCAUAACAAGGGCACGUCGUCAGAGAGUACGAUAAGGAAGCAGCUUCAGCAAGUCGAUGUGCUUCAGAACAUGGGGAUUUCAAGGCAUUUCGCUGCUGAGAUCAAGUGUAUCCUGGACAUGACAUACAGGUAUGAAACUUGACUAGUAUAAAUAUUAGCCGUCGCUUAUUAUUCUCUUUAACAACUCAUGUACUUAAUUAAUUGACUGCAAACCAAUUUACAGCUGCUGGUUACAGAGAUAUGAGGAGAUUACGCUAGACGUGGAGACUUGUGCUAUGGCAUUUCGGAUUCUUCGGAUGAACGGAUACAAUGUUUCUGCUGGUAAGUCUUAUUGUUGGAAAUUUCUACCUUGUCAGAUAUAUACUUACUCCAUACCUUGGUCACACAAAUAUUUGACGAUUUUUUUUAUCAAGGUUUGCUGAAACUUUUUGAAAAUUUGAUCAUCUUCAAAACAUCUAGUCUGGAAACACAAAAAUCAUAUGUGUAGAUUUAUAGGUCUUGAUUACUUUCAUAAUCUCACAUAAUUAUUAGAUGCUAAUUGUCAUAAUAAUAUUACAGUAAAAAAUUACUGGGCAAAGUUGCACCAUGAAGACUAAAAAAAUUCAACAACGUAAACUAUUUUCUUAGUGGAGUUUUUUUUUUAAAUUUUCUUAGCUGCUUUCAGGUUUCAACACACUAACCCACAUGAAAAUGUUAUGCAGAUGAGCUGUAUGAUGUUGCUCAAGCGUCCUGGUUCCAUCCUUCACUUGAAGGAUAUUUGAGUGAUACAAGAUCCCUAUUGGAGUUACACAAGGCUUCGAAAGUCAGUAUCUCAGAAGAUGAGUCUAUCCUGGACACCAUAGGCUCAUGGUCAGGCUGGUUGCUGAAGGAACAGCUGAGAUCUGGUGCGCUGCAGAGCACUCCACUCUUCAGAGAGGUAACAAUUUAGUGAACGUCUAUUGCUACCACGGAUGGGAUUUGGCAAUUCAGAAAGCUUUAAUGAGAUGUGUAUUUUUCAGGUGGAACAUGCACUGGAAUGCCCUUUCUACACCACAUUGGAUCGUCUUGACCACAGGAGGAACAUCGAAAAUUUUGAUGCCACAGGACACCAAAUGCUAAAAACAUCAUACUUGUAAGUUCCUAAUUUCUUAUUGUUCCACAAAGCACACGGUUCCUUCAAACCAUUGCAAUGUAUAUACUCAACGCCAACUGUGUAUAUAUUUGUUGAAACAGGUCUUGUUAUAACAACAAUGAUAUUCUAGCAUUGGGUGUCAGAGAUUUCAGUUCCUCUCAGUUUACUUACCAGGAAGAACUUCGUCAUAUCGACAGGUAACAAAUCUGAAUCUCAGGCCUAGCGUCCUAUGCAAAACAGCCUUCAGCAGCUCAGCUUACUUAAUUUGUGGUGCAAAAUUUGUUGUCGCAUGCAGCUGGGUAAAAGAGAGCAGGCUGGACCAGUUACCAUUCGCACGGCAGAAGUUGGCGUACUUCUACCUCUCUGCUGCUGGCACCAUAUUCACUCCUGAACUGUCGGAUGCUCGCAUUCUAUGGGCCAAAAAUGGCGUGCUCACAACCGUUGUCGAUGACUUUUUUGAUGUUGGAGGAUCAACAGAAGAACUGGAAAACCUAGUCACAUUGGUCGAGAUGUAUGGUCCUCAUCCUCCUUUACCCCAAUGAGUUAAGCACAUGUGAUGGUUUCUUGUUCUAAUUCUUUUUUAUUUUUGAUUUUUCAAUGAUUUUUGCAGGUGGGACGAGCAUCACAAAAUUGAGUUUUACUCUGAACAUGUCGAGAUUGUCUUUUCUGCAAUUUACACUUCAGUAAACGAGCUUGGAGAAAAGGCUUCUUUGCUGCAGGACCGUGAUGUCACAAAACACCUAGUAGAAAUAGUAAGUCUCGUGUACAGUUUCAUCUGCCAAUCUUUUUACAUUUAUAUUUUUUUUCUGAUUUCGAAAUUGACAAGUUUCAAUGACCUAUGUAGUGGCUGGAUUUGCUGAGGUCCAUGAUGACCGAGGUAGAGUGGCGGACGAGCAGCUAUGUUCCAACAGCAGAAGAAUACAUUACAAAUGCGGCUUUGACAUUUGCACUAGGCCCCAUUGUGCUUCCAGCAUUGUAUUUUGUUGGGCCAAAGAUCCCAGAAUCUGUUGUCAAAGACCCAGAGUACAACGAGUUGUUCAGGCUAAUGAGCACAUGUGGCCGUCUUUUGAACGAUGCUCAGACUUACGAGGUAUGCUGCACUUCAAAUUUGAAACUUAUGUAAAACAAACAAAGGAUUUAACAAUUGACACGCACUGAUGUUGUAAUGCAGAGGGAGUACAAGGAGGGCAAGGUGAACAUCGUUUCUAUCCUCGUUCAUCAGAGUGGCGGCUCCAUGUCCAUAGCGGAUGCCAGAAGGGAGAUUCAGAAGCCCAUCGACACCUGCAGGAGAGACCUGCUAAGGCUGGUUCUUAGCAAGGAAGGUGCCGUCCCUAGGCCCUGCAAGGAGCUGUUCUGGAAGAUGUGCAAGGUGUGCUACUUCUUCUACUCCCGGGGUGACGCGUUCAGCUCGCCGGAGGCGAAGGCCAGAGAAGUGGACGCGGUGGUCAACCUGCCCCUACAGCUCAAAGGAAGCAAUGCAAAUAAACUGCCUGUUUUGUGGGAGUGAUCAUCAAACCUUGAUCUGAUCCCUGCUUGUUUGGUUAACCG